rnacentral:rRNA from 1 species
GAUGAACGCUGGCGGCGUGCUUAACACAUGCAAGUCGAGCGAGAAGUUUUGAAAAGAUUCUUCGGAUGAAAUUUAAAAUGGAAAGCGGCGAACGGGUGAGUAACGCGUAGGCAACCUGCCCCAUACAAAGGGAUAGCAUUUGGAAACGAAUAUUAAUACCUUAUGAAACUUAACUAGUGCAUGCUAGGUAGGUCAAAGAUUUAUCGGUAUGGGAUGAGCCUGCGUCUGAUUAGCUAGUUGGUGAGGUAACGGCUCACCAAGGCGACGAUCAGUAGCCGACCUGAGAGGGUGAACGGCCACAUUGGAACUGAGACACGGUCCAAACUCCUACGGGAGGCAGCAGUGGGGAAUAUUGCACAAUGGGGGAAACCCUGAUGCAGCAACGCCGCGUGAACGAUGAAGGCCUUUGGGUCGUAAAGUUCUGUUCUAGGUGAUGAAAACUGACAGUAACCUAGGAGAAAGCCCCGGCUAACUCCGUG